CCUCCGGGGAGGCACAGGCGUCUCCCUCCCGUAGACCCCGCUUGUCCGCCCGGCUCCCCGACCGGCCUCCGGUAGCUCGAUCUGGGCCAGGGCCCGGGGGUCCCGCGGGGCCGCGGGAGGCCUGUUUACUAAAGAACCACCGCCCCCACUCGAGGAGGAGGGAGAGGGGCCCCUGCCCUGCGGUGCGACCCGGACGGCGCAGCACGUCCCUGCUGGGAAAGUUCUGUGCCUUUCCUAACUCUGAAGGCAGCAUCAGGGACAGGGCCCCAUCGGCAAGGGAGAGACCCAGGAAAGGAGGUGAAAGCUUGAAAUGCUAUAGGAAACAUUCUUCACUGUGAGCUUCCUGGAGAGGCUGAGGUUGAAAGUUUCCAGAGGAACUAACAUCCUAUUGAAAGGAAACCCUGAAAGUGGAGGAAAGCCCUAAACUUCAUCGGAGAAUGAAAAGUGUGAAAAGAAAAGAGACUCAAACAUGGAAGCAGAUUAUGUCAGUGUAGCUCCAGAUGCAUCAUAGAAACACUGUGCAAAGAUUGCGCAGCAUAAAUAAACCAAAUGCGCUCAAAAUCCACA